UUAAAAUUGCCGUUCGUACUGCGAUAUCAUAGUUUGGGUGCCGAAUGGUUAGCACUAGGCUCAGAACAACGAUCUAUUAAUUUGCCUGAAGAUGCUUUGGGGUCUAUCGUGAAAUGAAAUUCUGAAUUUUCACACUCAAUUUCGUGUUUUUGGUAAUACCAAAAUCUUUUCAGUAAAUAAAGCAUUUUCGUUCGUGAUAAGUCAUACCAUAAAAGUCCAAAUGGACAAUAUUUUAAUAUUUUAAAACGGCCGUCCCGUUUAGAGAUGAAACACGUGUUGCAAAACGUGUGCGAACAAAAUGGCGGUCGAAGAUUGUAUGGAGGGUUGCGGAACUUCUGAUAGUAACAGUGGUGGUAACAAACUAAUGGUAACGGAAUUAAACAAACAAAUUAUGGUAAACCUUUGCACGAUUUUUUUAUUAGUGAAAUAAAUCAAGGUGAUAUAAUUCAUGUUCAACAUUAAAGGAAAAAUGGUUAAAAAAAUAAAUUUGACAGCUAUGUUUUUUUUUUUGCAAUGGACAUUAAAAAGGUAUGCAGACACGAUCAAGUUAGAGUGAACUUGUUCUUUUAUAUAAUUUUUGGGCAUUGUUUGUUUUAGUUACAAUUUUCCAAAACAGGUAGUGAACCAUAAUUAUGUAUGGAUGAUAAUGGACUGCUAACCCUGCGCAGUAAUAAGUGAGAAUAAAGGUCGACCUGACAGGAUAUAUUGCUAGCAAUCCGUUCUCCCCAAUAAAUUACGUUUUACAAACAUGAAAAUUUUAAACAACAUUUAGAAAAUUUAUUUAAUUUGUCAUUAAAAAUAUCAAUAUAUGGCGGCUGAGUAAUCAGUCAUAUUGUUUUAGUCCUCACCUGCUGCCAACGUGAAGGAACAGUUUUCGGAUACAUCUAAAUUCAAACUUAAAUCCAAUUUAUUCCGUCUCUGCUCGCGUCUUGCUUCGUAGAAUUGUCGAAGAGUAGCUGUUGAUUCUUGAGGGAAGUCCAGAAAGUCUAAAAAAAGUUUAAUAGUCUAAUUCCAACCUUUUCAUACAGAAACAUCACGAUAGGUAAAAAUAGUUAAUUUUAAACCUACAUAUCUGCUUCUUUAUUGCCGAAACGUCGGCAAUAAAAAAGCAGGUAUAGAGGUACUAUUUACCUGCAAACGUUUUUUCAUUACGUUAAGGUCCGAUUGUGUAUUUGAGAAAAAAGUAAGCAAUGUUGUAUGAAGGUUCAUUAAUAAUCUUUCUUUUCUAAUUUUUGUAAAAGGACAUAGCCUGUUCAGCCUAACUACCUUUGUCACCUAUUAAAAACCAAAUAGAUUUUUUUAAUCAAAUAAAAAAUAUUACGAAUUUUUCAAUAAAUUAUUCAUUAUUACUUA